GCGGCGGACGGGUGAGUAAUGCCUAGGAAUCUGCCCGAUAGUGGGGGACAACGUUUCGAAAGGAACGCUAAUACCGCAUACGUCCUACGGGAGAAAGCAGGGGACCUUCGGGCCUUGCGCUAUCGGAUGAGCCUAGGUCGGAUUAGCUAGUUGGUGGGGUAAAGGCUCACCAAGGCGACGAUCCGUAACUGGUCUGAGAGGAUGAUCAGUCACACUGGAACUGAGACACGGUCCAGACACCUACGGGAGGCAGCAGUGGGGAAUAUUGGACAAUGGGCGAAAGCCUGAUCCAGCCAUGCCGCGUGUGUGAAGAAGGUCUUCGGAUUGUAAAGCACUUUAAGCUGGGAGGAAGGGCAGUAAGCUAAUACCUUGCUGUUUUGACGUUACCAGCAGAAUAAGCACCGGCUAACUUCGUGCCAGCAGCCGCGGUAAUACGAAGGGUGCAAGCGUUAAUCGGAAUUACUGGGCGUAAAGCGCGCGUAGGUGGUUCAGCAAGUUGGAUGUGAAAGCCCCGGGCUCAACCUGGGAACUGCAUCCAAAACUACUGGGCUAGAGUAUGGUAGAGGGUGGUGGAAUUUCCUGUGUAGCGGUGAAAUGCGUAGAUAUAGGAAGGAACACCAGUGGCGAAGGCGACCACCUGGACUAAUACUGACACUGAGGUGCGAAAGCGUGGGGAGCAAACAGGAUUAGAUACCCUGGUAGUCCACGCCGUAAACGAUGUCAACUAGUUGUUGGGUUCCUUGAGGACUUAGUAACGAAGCUAACGCGAUAAGUUGACCGCCUGGGGAGUACGGCCGCAAGGUUAAAACUCAAAUUGAAUUUGACCGGGGGCCCGCACAAG
rnacentral:rRNA from 1 species